rnacentral:lncRNA from 1 species
ACGCUAUAGCGCUAUUUAGCGUUUGUGGAGGAGGACUGCUAAGCUAUGGAGAUUUUAACGCUAAAUGAUUGUUCCCGCUAUUAGCAGCUAAUAGCACGCUAAUUUCGCUAAAUUGGGUUAGUUUAGCGCCGCUAUUUGGCCUUGGGAAUCAUUUCUAUCGACCCAAAUAACUUGGAGGCCCAAAUAGCAGGGAUAUGCCCC